rnacentral:rRNA from 1 species
CCUACGGGGGGCAGCAGUAGGGAAUCUUUCACAAUGGGCGAAAGCCUGAUGAAGCAACGCCGCGUGCAGGAUGAAGGCCUUCGGGUUGUAAACUGCUUUUAUAAGCGAGAAAUAUGAUGGUAACUUAUGAAUAAGGAUCGGCUAACUACGUGCCAGCAGCCGCGGUCAUACGUAGGAUCCGAGCAUUAUCCGGAGUGACUGGGUGUAAAGAGUUGCGUAGGUGGCAUAAUAAGUAGCUAGUGAAAUCUGGUGGCUCAACCAUUCAGACUAUUAGCUAAACUGUUAAGCUCGAGACCGUGAGGGGUAACUGGAAUGUCUAGUGUAGGAGUGAAAUGCGUAGAUAUUAGAAAGAACACCGAUAGCGUAGGCAGGUUACUGGGACGGUUCUGACACUAAGGCACGAAAGCGUAGGGAGCAAACGGGAUUAGGUACCCUAGUAGUC